rnacentral:rRNA from 1 species
GACGAACGCUGGCGGCGUGCUUAACACAUGCAAGUCGAACGGAAAGGCCCUGCUUUUGUGGGGUGCUCGAGUGGCGAACGGGUGAGUAGCACGUGAGUAACCUGCCCUUGACUUUGGGAUAACUUCAGGAAACUGGGGCUAAUACCGGAUAGGAGCUCCUGCUGCAUGGUGGGGGUUGGAAAGUUUCGGCGGUUGGGGAUGGACUCGCGGCUUAUCAGCUUGUUGGUGGGGUAGUGGCUUACCAAGGCUUUGACGGGUAGCCGGCCUGAGAGGGUGACCGGCCACAUUGGGACUGAGAUACGGCCCAGACUCCUACGGGAGGCAGCAGUGGAGAAUAUUGCACAAUGGGCGGAAGCCUGAUGCAGCAACGCCGCGUGCGGGAUGACGGCCUUCGGGUUGUAAACCGCUUUCGCCUGUGACGAAGCGUGAGUGACGGUAAUGGGUAAAGAAGCACCGGCUAACUACGUG